UACGGGGGGUGCGAGCGUUGUCCGGAAUCACUGGGCGUAAAGGGCGCGUAGGUGGCGCGACAAGUCAACGGUGAAAGCUCGGCGCUCAACGCCGAGUCGGCCGUCGAUACUGUUGGGCUUGAGCACUGUAGAGGCUAAUGGAAUUCCGGGUGUAGCGGUGGAAUGCGUAGAGAUCCGGAAGAACACCGGUGGCGAAGGCGGUUAGCUGGGCAGUUGCUGACACUGAGGCGCGACAGCGUGGGGAGCAAACAGGG
rnacentral:rRNA from 1 species